rnacentral:rRNA from 1 species
GAUGAACGCUGGCGGCGUGCAUAACACAUUCAAGUCGAACGGGGAAUCUUGAAUUGGAGACUUCGGUCAAAGAUUUGGGAGGAUAGUGGCGGACGGGUGAGUAAUGCAUGAGCAACCUGCCUUAAAGAGGGGGAUAACACAGAGAAAUUUGUGCUAAUACCGCAUGUUUUAUGACGAGGGCAUCCUCGACAUAAUAAAGGAGCAAUCCGCUUUAAGAUGGGCUCAUGUCCGAUUAGAUAGUUGGUGAGGUAACGGCUCACCAAGUCUACGAUCAGUAGCCGGACUGAGAGGUUGAACGGCCACAUUGGAACUGAGAUACGGUCCAGACUCCUACGGGAGGCAGCAGUGGGGAAUAUUGGGCAAUGGGCGAAAGCCUGACCCAGCAACGCCGCGUGAAGGAAGAAGGUCUUCGGAUUGUAAACUUCUUUUAUAAAGGAAGAAAUUUGACUGUACUUUAUGAAUAAGCCACGGCUAACUACGUG